rnacentral:tRNA from 1 species
GCACUCGUGGCGGAACGGCAGACGCGCUACCUUGAGGUGGUAGUGUUAAUUCGUGUGGGUUCAAAUCCCGUCGAGUGCACCA